rnacentral:rRNA from 1 species
UACGGGGGAGCAAGCGUUGUUCGGAUUUACUGGGCGUAAAGGGCGCGUAGGCGGUCGUGACAAGUCACUUGUGAAAUCUCCGGGCUUAACUCGGAACGGUCAAGUGAUACUGUCGGACUAGAGUACAGAAGGGCAACUGGAAUUCUCGGUGUAGCGGUGAAAUGCGUAGAUAUCGAGAGGAACACCUGCGGCGAAGGCGGGUUGCUGGCUGAUACUGACGCUGAUGCGCGAAAGCCAGGGAGCGAACGGG